GCGCAGCAAGCGCGAAAACUUCACAAUGUGCGAAAGCACGAUGAGGGAAUCCCAAGUGCUUGCACGUAAGUGUAAGCUGUUUCUCUGUCUAAAACGCAGAGAGAGUAAGGGCUGGGUAAGACGGGUGCCAGCCGCCGCGGUAAUACCUGCAGCUCGAGUGGUGACCGUUAUUAUUGGGGCCUAAAACGUCCGUAGCCGGUUUAAUAAAUGCCUGGGUAAAUCGGACCGCUUAACGGUUCGAAUUCCGGGUAGACUGUUAAACUUGAGACCGGGAGAAGUUAGAGGUACUCCUGGGGUAGAGGUGAAAUUCUGUAAUCCUAGGGGGACCACCAGUGGCGAAGGCGUCUAACUAGAACGGGUCUGACGGUGAGGGACGAAG
rnacentral:rRNA from 1 species